GGUCGGGGCCGGGCCGGGCCGGGCGGUGUGUGCGGCCGCCUCGAUGGCCCCGCCGGAGCGCUGGGAGCGAUCUCAAAAGUGGAACUGCUCUAACUUCACAUGUUAAAGUAGAACCUACUUCUCCUGCCUCUGCCUUGCACUGAGCAUCCAGCCUUGCCCAUGGUGCAGUACAGCAGAUGCUGCUGUGGGAGAGCCUGGCUGGUGAGACAGUUCCUUCCUGCUCACCUCCUUGAGCAUCGAGCUGUGUCAGCUGGGAUGACUGGAGAAGCCCAUCUCUUUCCCCGUCCUCUGAGACCAGGUUCUGCUAUUUAGUGGUAAUAGAUGUUAAGCAUCAAAAAACCCACAACAAACAAAACCCAACAGAGGAUGGUCUGCCUGGCAAGUGA